CCUGAUGCAGCCAUGCCGCGUGUGUGAAGAAGGCCUUCGGGUUGUAAAGCACUUUCAGUUGUGAGGAAAGGUGGGUAGUUAAUAGCUGCUCACUGUGACGUUAGCAACAGAAGAAGCACCGGCUAACUCCGUGCCAGCAGCCGCGGUAAUACGGAGGGUGCGAGCGUUAAUCGGAAUUACUGGGCGUAAAGCGUGCGUAGGCGGUUUGUUAAGCAAGAUGUGAAAGCCCAGGGCUCAACCUUGGAACUGCAUUUUGAACUGGCAAACUAGAGUACUGUAGAGGGUGGUGGAAUUUCCAGUGUAGCGGUGAAAUGCGUAGAGAUUGGAAGGAACAUCAGUGGCGAAGGCGGCCACCUGGACAGAUACUGACGCUGAGGCACGAAAGCGUGGGGAGCAAACAGGAUUAGAUACCCUGGUAGUCCACGCCGUAAACGAUGUCAACUAGCUGUCUGUGGACUUGAUCCGUGGGUAGCGGAGCUAACGCAUUAAGUUGACCGCCUGGGGAGUACGGCCGCAAGGUUAAAACUCAAAUGAAUUGACGGGGGCCCGCACAAGCGGUGGAGCAUGUGGUUUAAUUCGAUGCAACGCGAAGAACCUUACCAUCCCUUGACAUCCACAGAAGAGACUAGAGAUAGACUUGUGCCUUCGGGAACUGUGAGACAGGUGCUGCAUGGCUGUCGUCAGCUCGUGUUGUGAAAUGUUGGGUUAAGUCCCGCAACGAGCGCAACCCCUAUCCUUAUUUGCCAGCGCGUUAUGGCGGGAACUCUAAGGAGACUGCCGGUGAUAACCGGAG
rnacentral:rRNA from 1 species